GUCUGUGUUAGAGUGUAGAGUUUUCUACGCUAUGCUAAAUCUGCCGCUGGAUGUUCAGACUGGCGUGGUUUGCAAGGUCGUGGGGAGCUGUUGACCUUGCUUCAUCUGUUGGGGAGGAUAUACGUGCUCGUGCUCCUGGUGUCCCGGGGGUCCUGUUGUCAGGUUGGGGGUGCGUUUGUGUGGUGUUCGCGAAGUUAGGUGUUGGAAGAUCAUUGUUUUCCAGAUCGGCCAUGAUCUUGGCAAGGAUUUCUUUGGCGAGGUUUCUUGCAAUCUUUGUCCUCUGGGUUGUCAAUUUUUGCGUUUGACGAUGGUCGGUGUGGGCUCCUGUAGGCACCGGAUAGUGUUUGAUCCAGGGAGGAGUUUGUGGACCGUUGCUGCAGUUGGUCUGUAGGGGCAGGUGCGUUAAGACCCUCCACGUCGCGUGUCGGGGGAUCGUCUUGUAUCUGGAUUGUUUUUAGUCUGUUGGCAAACUCUCUCGGGAGGAAGUCGCGGUGGAGGAGGAGUUUCCAGUUGGGGUGUGUUUGUCUCCAGCAGAAGACGUCGGCUUGGGUCCAAAUGGAUUGACCAUCCGAGGAUGUCCAUGAAGUGUGCUUGGAGAUUGAGCAUGGAGUUCCUACGUCCCAUUGUGUGGGAUCUUCCUGCUAAUUUUGGAUGGUCGUUGGUGCCAAGAGGGCCUGUGGAGGGCCAUGUGAGGGGAGGCAGCGUGGGUUUGACCAUUCGGCAAAUUGUCGCGUAUUUGGUCCAUGCGAUGGAGACCUGGGGCAGUUGAAGAAGACAUGCUCGGUUGUCUCUUGUUGCUGGCCCGGGAAUAAGUUACAAUGGCCAGGUUGAUUGAUCUUUGCUUGCCAUCCCUCGAUGGGGUGGCCCUCUGCUAUCAAGAGCCACACCAUUGCUGAUUUUUUCUUGGGUAGAUUAUGCUAGGGUGCUGCGAGGCCUCCGUUGGGUUGAACUCUUAGUGGACACUUGGGUAUCACUUGGGCUUCUCGGAGUGCAUCUAGAAGGACGUCCUCGUGGGGAGCCGUCAUUGUGAGGAGGAAGCCAGAAGUGGAGCAAAUCAACUCCAGUACUUCGAAUGAGCGUUGAAGGUUCUUGGGGGUGUCCCAGAGGUACAACGUUGUGUCGUCCGCAAAACAUUGAUCCCUCACCGUGGCGCCGUUUGGUAAGCGUAAUUCCUUGAUGUCAUAGUUCGGGUCGUUUAUCAUGUAGGAUAACACGUCCAAUAUAAACAAGUAUAGGUAGGGUGUGGGGAUAGUCCUAGCGCACCGACCGUUUAAUUGUGAAUUUGUCGCUCUUGUGUCCGUUUACCAAGAUUGCGGAUUGUUCGCCUUUGUAGAGUGUUGCGGUCCACUUUAUCCAUUCCUCCAAAAUCCCAGCUUAUGCAUUAUUUGUUGAAGGAAUGUCCAGUUAACUCUGUCGUAAGCUUUCUCAAAAUCCAAAAGGGGGAUCACUAAAUCCUGGUUGCUUUCUUUGGUCUAGUGGAUGGAUUCAUAGGUUUGUAGGACAUUGUCUAAAAUGUAGCGAUCUUUGACAAAGCCCGUUUGGGUGGGUCGAAUACAACUCGAGAGGACCGAUUGGAGGCGAUUGGUAAGUGUCUUUGCUGCCAUUCUGUACGUCGAAGAGAGCGUUGUGAUGGUCCAAUACUUGCGGAUGUUGGUGGUUGCUCCUCCUUUGGAUAUCAGGCUGAUGAGACCCAAGUUGAGAAUGUCGUAUAAGUGGUCGUUUCAAAAUGCUUCGUUGAGGCCAUCCGUGAGGUCGCUUUCAAUUGUCUCACAUUUUGGUCAAGAACUCUAUCGGGAUUGUGUCCUCUCCCGCUGCUUAAUAUUUGUGGAGAUCCUUGGUUGCCUGGUGGACUUUUGCUGGUGUGAUUAUCGUAGUGAGGUUGUUGUUUUGUUCGAGCGUGACCUUGGUGGGGACGUUGUUCAGAUAUUUGUCUAGGUCUUGUUGAUUGCUCUCCACCUCCGGAUCAUUGGUGUACAGGGUUUUGUAAUAGUGGUGUACGUGGAUAGAGAUUUUUGUUUAGGUUGUGAGGUUACGGCCUCCGUCUAUUAGUUCGUGGAUAUUCGCUUGCUUGUUCUUAUCUCUGUGGAAUUUAAAUAACUCCUUCGAUCACCUGUUGCCUACACAAGACCAUUUUGCUGCCGUCGAGUUCUUGGUGGCUUCUAGCUUGGCAAAGCGGGUCUCUCUCAAAAGUUGUGCUUGGUUGAGCCGUGUCCAGGCUUGGUUAUCCGUCCAAUCAAUUUGUAGGACCUUUUUGGCUUCUUUUACUUCCAAACUGGAUAUGCUAAAUUUUUUUAUGAAUCCUUGUUCUUUGCAAUGAAAAAGGGGCUCCACAGAGUGAGUGGAAUCUUUUGCCCUUCGAACUUGA